ensembl:lncRNA
UUUUUUUUUCUACUGUACAGCAUGGUGACCCAGUUAUACAUACACGUAUACAUUCUUUUUUCUCCCAUUAUCAUGCUCCAUCAUUCUCAUUGCUGAGCCAUUACAAAAGCAAUAGUUUGCAUCUAUUAACCCCAAGCUUGAUAUGGUAAUUUUUUACAUGUAUAUUUACAAUGAAAGGUGAAGUGCUUUGACAGUUGUCAGUAAAGUGUCAGAUUGACUGUGGCAGUGAAAGGUAAGAGGAUUUAAAAGCCCUAUUCUUCCUGGCCUUAAUUUGGUGUGCUAUCAAGCUGCUAAAAUUGGUACCCACUGAGGAAAUAGCAUUUACUCUUUCUCAUAAGCAUACCACCUCCUAUUACUUCUCCUUGCCUCAGCGCUCCUAAGCCUCUCUCGAUUGUAUUAAGAGAUGACCCUAGUUGCAGAAAGGAUUCUACCCUAGAGCCUGUGCCACUCCCUCCUGAGUCCUGAAGUACCUAUUCUAUUAUGGGUCCCAGAAUAUUAAGGCACAUGUUAGGACCUAGAGCUUAUCACACCAAGAAGCAUGACUGAGCUCAUUUUCUGUGGGAGCGAGAAUUCUGAGAUGCGUCCCAAUGAUCUCCAUCCACUGAGUAUGGCUCCUUCCCCUUGAGUGCAGGUGAAUCUUACGACUUUAUUCUGAGGGAAUACGGAAACGGUGAUGGGAUGCCACAUCUAUGACCACAUGCUCUUGUGUAAGACUGUCUUGGCACACUGGAGUAUGAGGAAUUCUCCUGCUGACCACAAAGAAGAAAAAAAGCCCAUUGUAAACUACCAACAGAGUGGGCCCUGUGCUAAGGACCUGAGGUGCCUCCAGGCGAAAGCUAGAAGUCACAGGUCUCAUUUUUAUGGCCACAAAGGAAUGAAUUCUGCCAGAGACCUGAAUGAGCUUGGAAACCAAUCCAGAUAAUAGCACAGCCCAGCCAACACUUUGAAAGACCUUGGGCAACUAAGGAUCCAGCUAAGUCCGUCACAAUUCUUAGCCCACAGAACUGUAAGAUAAUCAACAUUUUGUGUUAACCUACUAUGCUUGUGGUAAUUUGUUAUGCAUCAUAGGAAACUAGUACCUUGCUCAAAGCUCCCUUGUUUCCAGUUGGGGACCCAGCACCCCAGUAGGGGCCUUUUCACUUUCUCUUAGUCAAAGUCCUUCUUAAUCCCAAGGGCUUUAGUCCACAACCCCAAAGCUUCAGCUUUGGACACCUUUCUGAGGAUCCCUCAUUUUUCCACCUCCACACACACCCCUCCACAUACUGCCUUAUAGACGCUACCUUACUUUGGUGAAUCCUAUGUUUUUAAACAGGCAGGUCCUAACUAAUGGUCCCCACCAACCUCACAAAUAUUCAGACGUUACCCAUGGUUAGGUCUCCUUGUCAAUAACGACCUGACAGGAUUUUUAGAAAUAUGCCCCCAACCGUGGCAUCUCCAAUUCCUUGCAUUACUACUUCUUAAGUUACUUUUUGCCUCAUUGCAGAUUCUUGGGGUUGACUGGUUUGUUCUUAGAUUAGUGUAUCUAUUAGAUAUGAGACUUUUUUAUCUGGUCACUUAUUUCAACCUCUCUUUCCUUCUGUAUUUGAAAAACAAAACAAAAGCCCACCCACCGAUUCUAAGGAUGAAGCAAAGUCAUUAUUAAAUGUUUAUUUAGUAUUGCUAACAUAUUAGUACUCCUAUAUGCUGAUAUAAUAUGUAUAAUUUAAUUUUUCACAUGUUUAUUUUGGAGAAACUGGAAUGAAUUAUAACAUCAACUGAAUAUCUGCAAAAUAUGUGAAUCCACUUUAUAGGCCUGACAUUUUUUCUAAAAUAUAUCUAAGUGAUUUUUAACAGAUUUAAAGUAUGAAAUAAAGAAGUUUCUGUUGUGGUUCAGCAGCUUAUGAACCAGAAUAUAUCCUUGAGGGUGCGAGUGCAAUCCCUUGCCUCCUCAGUGGGUUAAGGAUCAAGUGUUGCCACAAGCUGUGGUGUAGGUUGCAGAAGUGGCUCAGAUCUGGCAUUGCUGUGGCUGUGGCAUAGGCCGGUAGCUAUAGCUCCAAUUCAGCCCCUAGCCUGGGAACUUCCAUAUGCUGCAGGUGCAGCCCUAAAAAGCAAAAAGAAAAAAAAAGUAUGAAAUAUUAUAGUUAAGGAAUAUGUUUUCUGUUUUAUGACACAUGUUCUGAUAUACAUGAGGUCAUGCUGAAGCUAUCUUGAACAUGAAUGGAAUAAACAUUACAAAGUUCAUAUGAAAAAGUUAGUAUCCACUAUCAUACUUCAGUUUUAAUAAAUUAAUUGUAGUAUUUCCUGAUCAUUGGGAAUUUCCUGCAUUGUGGUAUAUCAUGUACUAUAUAGGACUUACUGCCUCUAAUAGCAGUUACUAUCAUUAUCAAUAAUAAUAAAAGCUACCAAGUAUUUAGUGCUUACUAAGUGGCAGGCAUUAUCUUAAAUGCUUUACAUACAUUAUUUCAUUAAAU